UGUGUCACAAUAAAUUGAAGGGAAUCGACCAACGAAAAGGGCAUGUGAAGGGCAUAAUUCAACAAAAGGACACUUGAGGAAGUAUUGGGAGUACAGGACUGGUUUAACAUUCGAGGACGAAUGUUCUAAAGGGGGGAAGGACGUUACAUCCCGUAUUUUCAUAAGUUGGAAAGUGUGCGAGUUAUAUGAUAUUAGUAACGGACACGAGGUUAUCCCCCAAGCUUAUAGGUGGUUAAAGUGAUGGUACGCAUGUAUCGUAAGGAUUUGAAGUUAAACCAAUCGAAGAAAAUAAGUUUCGUCGAGGUUCAAAAUUUAUUUGAAUGGAAUACGGUCCAAGCUAUAAUAUCCCGUAUUUUUGGACUAGAAAAUUUAAUUGUCCAACAUGAGCAAAUUUACCCGACCCCGGAGAAUUCGAUCGUAUCCAAGGAUGAAAAUCAAGAGCUCGGUGUAUACGAGAAAUGAAGUCUCAAAAUUAUUUAAGACGAAAAAGUGGGACGACGAUGAUUGAAAAUAAUAUUUUAUGUGUGCCAGUGGAGGCUAUGGAAGUAGUGCUAUAUCACAUGAUUAUGUUUAUGAGUAUAUGAGGUGUAUUAAAAAGAGAAAUAAUUUUUAAUGUAAGUAAAUCAUGAUCAAAAAUUAAUUAUGUGACUAAUUGGUUAAACAUUGGAAUAAAGUGGAAGAAUAAGGAGUUGAUUAUGGUAUUAAUUGAAUUAAAUGGAGAAGCCUCAUUUUUCAUUUUUUUGUUUUGGACAAAGCCACGUGUAAGAAGCAGCAUAUGAUGAGUAAGGCUUGAUAUGCUAUAUGGCAUCCUAGGAGUUAAAAGUGGCAAGUACUUAUUAGUGGACCCCACCAUCCAAAGCAUUAAAAAAGGAAAUUACACUUGAAUGUAUAUCAUUUUCUCAUACAUAAUUAUUCCAGCAACUACAUAUACGUAAUGUAUUGCAACGUUUUGGCCCCUAUUUUUUUACGAAGUAUGUUCAUUCAUAUUCAAGAAGGACUAGGCCCUGCGUUGAUGCAACAAUAUUACGAAAAAUAACAUAAAGAUUAUACUCACGUCGGUGUCAUCUAUUUAGUAGCAAACUGGAGAUUUCUUGGAGGUGAAUUAGUGUGGAAGAAGAGUAGUUCUUGUAAUAUAAGGUUUAUCAUAUUAAUUAUGGAAGUUCUUGGAUGGACUGAACUCUUGAACGACGUGAGGUACAGAUGCUCACGUUGGUAACCCGCCAGCUCAAGAGUCCUAUUCAGCUAUCUUGGAGAGCUCCCUUGUUCCGGAGCCUAGAUUUUGGUACAGAAUCUCUUGUGGUGUAUAUGUAUUUUAUCCAGGGGUACGGCGGGGCCCUGUCCCGUCAUAUAAUACUGUUGUUACUCUUAGAGGUCUGUAGACAUAUGUAUGGGUUGUGUAUCGAUGUUGUUCAGUUGUGUCUAUAUGGCUUAUGUUUUGGGACGUUCUCAUUCGUAGUGGCAGCCUUGUCGGCUUGCGUAGAUAUAUAUAUAUAUAUAUGUUUUGAGAAGUAAUGUGUUAUGAUAGCCUUGUCGGCUCGUUUAUAGCAGGGAUGUUCCCUUAUAUAUUAUGAAAGCCUUGUCGGCUUAUGUACUAUAAUGUCUGUUGAAAGUUGUACUUCCCAAGGAGACAGGUUGUUGUGAUACGU